rnacentral:lncRNA from 1 species
GGUUGACUUUUAAAAGUAGGUUCUAAUAAUCUUAAAGCGAUUGGAAAUUGAGAAGAAUGUAAUGGAAAAUAUAUUUAUAUGGCUUGAUUAGCAAAAUUCCCUCAUAAAGCAGAAACCUGCAGGAUCCCUUAGCAAUUUACUGAAGAUGAAAAAUAAGCAGAACAACUUUUUAUAGGUCUAUAGUCACUAGAGAUUAAUUACAAACACUAGGUGUAUUUUAACCUAAUUCUUGGUUCUUGAAAAGCACUGCAGAUGACAGCAACAAAAGAUAAUACCUGCUUUUACCAUGGGGGGAACACAUACUUUCAGAAAUGACUGCUGGGAAGAAUUGGAAAGGGACUGGAAGCAAUGACGGCUAAAGAAUCUCGAGAAGGAAGACAGACUAUACAUAUUUUUUCUAG